UACGAAGGGGGCGAGCGUUGUUCGGAGUUACUGGGCGUAAAGGGCGCGUAGGCGGCGAUCCAAGUUAGGCGUGAAAGCCCCGGGCUUAACCUGGGAAUUGCGCUUAAGACUGGACUGCUUGAGUGCGGGAGAGGUGAGUGGAACUUCUGGUGGAGCGGUGAAAUGCGUAGAUAUCAGAAGGAACACCGGUGGCGAAAGCGACUCUCUGGCUCGUAUCUGACGCUGAGGCGCGAAAGCUUGGGUAGCAAACGGG
rnacentral:rRNA from 1 species